ACUUAAAUAGCUUAUAUAGAGCGUAAUAUUGAAGAUAUUAAAGAAACUUUAUGUUUUUAGGUA
rnacentral:tRNA from 1 species